UUCUCUAGAUAAAAGACUUCUCAUCUCCAGUGGAGUUGCCUCGGGUUAUCCGCAAGACCCUCGUGUGAGCCUGUGAGCAAGACAGAGAACUGAUCCUCUUCCCAUCUUAAGAAGUGAAAACUGAGGUCGAAAGUGAUCUGCUGGAGGCCAGAUGGCUACCGCCGGAUCGGCAGAGCCACCUGCGUGCUCUCUGGGUGGACGCUCAGGAAGGCGUGGGGCAGCAGCGAUCACGGCCGGGCCACCAGCGCUCAGCUGCAGCCCCCACGACCUGCGUGAGCAACGCCCACCAUCAGACGCAGAAAGGGAGAGGAAGUGUUUGGACACUCCUCCAGCAACUACACAGAGCCGUUUUAUGUCUGUUGAAUAGAACAGUAA